GCCAACUUAGCUCAGUUGGUAGAGCAUCGCAUUGAAAAUGCGAGUGUCCCCGGUUCAAAUCCGGGAGUUGGCA
rnacentral:tRNA from 1 species